GAACGGGUGAGUACACGUGGGUGAUCUGCCCUGCACUUUGGGAUAAGCCUGGGAAACUGGGUCUAAUACCGAAUAGGACCACGCGCUUCAUGGUGUGUGGUGGAAAGCUUUUGCGGUGUGGGAUGGGCCCGCGGCCNANNNGCUUGUUGGUGGGGUAAUGGCCUACCAAGGCGACGACGGGUAGCCGGCCUGAGAGGGUGACCGGCCACACUGGGACUGAGAUACGGCCCAGACUCCUACGGGAGGCAGCAGUGGGGAAUAUUGCACAAUGGGCGCAAGCCCGAUGCAGCGACGCCGCGUGAGGGAUGACGGCCUUCGGGUUGUAAACCUCUUUCAAUAGGGACGAAGCGCAAGUGACGGUACCUAUAGAAGAAGCACCGGCCAACUACGUGCCAGCAGCCGCGGUAAUACGUAGGGUGCGAGCGUUGUCCGGAAUUACUGGGCGUAAAGAGCUCGUAGGUGGUUUGUCGCGUUGUUCGUGAAAACUCACAGCUUAACUGUGGGCGUGCGGGCGAUACGGGCAGACUAGAGUACUGCAGGGGAGACUGGAAUUCCUGGUGUAGCGGUGGAAUGCGCAGAUAUCAGGAGGAACACCGGUGGCGAAGGCGGGUCUCUGGGCAGUAACUGACGCUGAGGAGCGAAAGCGUGGGGAGCGAACAGGAUUAGAUACCCUGGUAGUCCACGCCGUANACGGUGGGUACUAGGUGUGGGUUCCUUCCUUGGGAUCCGUGCCGUAGCUAACGCAUUANGUACCCCGCCUGGGGAGUACGGCCGCAAGGCUA
rnacentral:rRNA from 1 species